GACUUCUGGAGGAACACUGGCUAAUCUUACGGCUUUAUUAGCCGCUAGAAGUGUUCAAGUCUCUUCUGGAGUUU
rnacentral:tRNA from 1 species